rnacentral:lncRNA from 1 species
AUCAAGAUAUGUAAUUGAAAACUUCACAAUUCUUAUCAGCAAUUGAAAUCAGAAUUCAAACUUACAGAAGAAUUGUCGAAUUGGAUUCAUCACAUUUUUACUUAAAACCAAAGGUUAGGCUGCUGAUCAGUCACGCACUAACCCCGAACAUGGCACACAGCCCUGUUCUCUAUACUGGAUCCAAGGCACACAUUGGCCUAUAAUUGACCACGAAUCUGGUCUGACCACGAAUCUGGUCCACAUAUUUUAUAAAAACUAAUCCAAUUCUAACAAUUUAAGUCAAUAGACAAUCAAUCAAUAGAACAAAAUCAUAAUCAUUAUCAACAACAUAAAUAUUCCAAACCAACUUUUAAGAAUCAUCCUUUUAUAAAUCAAAAUUCAAGAAGUCCUUAACUAUUCAGUAUCCUCCAUCAUCGGCUAAGUUAACUAGUCUGACAAUGGUGGGUUGAAUAAUCAAGAAGAUCUCAAUUCAUUCUAAGUUCUAACUAUCACUGAGCAACACAUGCUUCAAUGACAAUCUGAACUUCGAAUUAGUUUGUAAAGCUGACAUUUUUAAAAUCUUGAGACUGGAAAGAAGGAUCAGAAUACUUGUAAUAGAAAUUGAGAGUAAUUAGGUGUUUGGCUUUUCAAAAUUUUGAAGAAGAAAACAAGCAUGGGUUUCAUUCUCAGAAGUAAGGGUGUAUUUGAGAAGGGUUUCAGUAUAAACAAUAUCAUAAUCUUGACAGAAUAAUCAGAACAUGCAAUAUAUAUAUGAGGAAGGA